rnacentral:rRNA from 1 species
CCUACGGGAGACAGCAGUGAGGAAUAUUGGUCAAUGGACGAGAGUCUGAACCAGCAAAGCAGCGUGAAGGAUGACGGCUCUAUGGGUUGUAAACUUCUUUUAUAUGGGAGUAAAAUGACGUACGUGUGGGAGGUUGUAUGUACCAUAUGAAUAAGGAUAGGCUAACUCCGUGCCAGCAGCCGAGGUAAUACGGAGGAUGCGAGCGUUGUCCGGAUUUAUUGGGUGUAAAGGGAGCGUAGGCGGAUUGUUAAGUUAGUUGUGAAAGGUCGCGGCUCAACCGUAAAGUUGCAGUUGAAACUGGGAGACUUGAGUACAGUAGAGGUGGGUGGAAUUCAUGGUGUAGCGGUGAAAUGCUUAGAUAUAACGAAGAACACCGGUUGCGAAGGCAGCUCUCUGGACUGUAACUGACGCUGAGGCUCGAAAGUGUGGGUAGCAAACAGGAUUAGAUACCCGGGUAGUC